GGAAGUUGAAGGACGGGUUUCGGGCCCUCCACGGGCCUGAGGAAACUCCCUUCUUGAUGCGGGUGCUACAGCGCCGUAAGGCGCAGGGGGAGACCUCUAGGCUGAGACAGAAACGAAGCCUGUUCGAGGAUAUGGGUGUGAAGAACGCAGACGACCCUCAAAACAGGCGUGAAACGUGCUCAGCCUGUAGCAAGCAAGGCCAAACGGAUCAGAUGAGCAACCCGCGUGAUGAUCGGGUGGGCCGCUUAGUCGAAUCCCGUCGCGAACAGAAAAGGGGUUACUCUCAACAUCC
rnacentral:RNase_P_RNA from 1 species